rnacentral:lncRNA from 1 species
AGGAGAAGAGAAGUAGUUGAUAAGUUAAUUAAAAGGAAUCUGUCCAAAUUAAAAAUGUAGGAUAAGUAUGCAUUUUUUAAAUAAGCAUGUAUUUUAGCAACAUAAGCAACGAACAGGAUUUACGAAACAAGACCUUAAUUAAUUAGCUUCCAAAAAGAGCAUUUGUUGUCUGCUCUUAAUUUGUUUUGAUAUAAUCAUAAUUCCUCAAUCUUCCCAAACAUAAUUAAAGGGUUGUGUGCCGUAAUUAGAAGAUUGUUAAACGUCCAAGAUACAAAUGAAACUUU